CCGGACCGACCGCGACGGGUGCGUAACGCGUAUGUAACCUACCUUUGACAGGGGGAUAACAUCGAGAAAUUGGUACUAAUACCCCAUAACAUCACCGGAGGCAUCUUCGGUGGUUGAAAACUCAGGUGGUCAGAGAUGGACAUGCGUUGUAUUAGCUAGUUGGUGAGGUAACGGCUCACCAAGGCGACGAUACAUAGGGGGACUGAGAGGUCAACCCCCCACAUUGGUACUGAGACACGGACCAAACUCCUACGGAAGGCAGCAG
rnacentral:rRNA from 1 species